UUUUUUUGGGGGGGAAUAUUAUUUUAAAGAGGAAAAUCAAAAGAUAAUAUCACUAGUUGAAGAAGCAAGGAAUACAAGUUUGGGGUUGGAGCUGAAAUAUUAGGGACACCAGUUUCUGGGAUGGAUAUAAACUCCUGGUAGAGGGAAGGCAGGUGUUAUCUAUAAAAUGAUACAUAAAGAUAUAACAUAAAUAUUUUAUUAAGGGAUAUAUGUCAUAAAAAUCACAUAAAGUGUAAGGCAGUGUUUUCUUUUGGGGAGUGGAAUUAAGAGUGAGAAAGAAGUAUGUCUGGGAUGGUAGUUAUUAUUUUGGACAUGUCAUAAGUAGACAAUAGUACAACUUUUUUUGAAGGAUUAGGAUAUUUAGUUUGAGAAGGAGUGUAGGACGCGAGACAACUUCGGCUGAAAAUACAGAAAUCCUUCCUAAUGAACAACAUUAGAAUAAACCACCUUGUAGAGGAGUGAAUUUUCAAGAAGAUAAUUGAGGGAUGUUUCACACAUGUAAGAGAUGCUCCAAUUUCACAUUCUAUGGUUUGAUGUGCUUUUAGCAGAAAGAUUUUCAAAGAACUGCUACUAGAUAAAAGAAUCAAUUAUUUUUAACACAAUAUUUAACUGAAUUUUUGUAAUAAGAGAUUCGACAAUUCUACUUUUCCCUCCCCAUGUAUAUCUUACAUUAAAAUGACUUGGACUUUCAGAAAUAAAACAACAAAUUUAACUGAACUCAAGGCAAAACAAAGCCUCAUAUUAGAUUUCCAUGGAAGAUAAUUUUGCAGGAAACCUCUUGGAGAAAUCAAAGGAAAAAGAAGCUAGAAGUACAUAAACAAGUUAUGCAGGAGAAAUUGCUUCUGUGAGGAUAGAUUUAUUUGGUUUAGUUUUCUCUGGGUAAUAUAAAAUAUACAAUGUAUUUUAUGAGGAUUUUCUUAUUGUCCACACUCAGUUUGAAUUCAUACCUCAGAGAAAAAGAUAAUGUUGAUUCUUACAGGUUAUCCUAAACUUUCUUUUUCAACACUUUUCACAAAAUUGAAACAUCACUACUAAAGAGCCCUGUCUAUGCUUGAGGGAGUAGCCAUAACAUGGCUGAGUGACCCAUCACUGCUCCUGAUGUUGGACAACAUCUAGAAGGCCAGCUGGCUCUCUAGAAGUGAUGGCACUGGCACCAGCCGGCCCACUGCCUUCUUGGACUGCUCCCUUCAAAUACAGUGUUGAAACGUGCUGCCUCAUAUGCAGCCUAAUUUCUAGACCCUAUAAAUCAAGAAUAUGACUUUUCUUUCAAAUAUUAUUUUUUUUUGUACUAUGAACUUACUGUAGAGUUGGAUUAAGUGAGAACUUCCAGAUCUAAGACACCAACAACUGACUAUAUUAUAUUGUACUAUAGUCAACUAGAGUAUGGUGUAUUACAUUAUCUUAUAUGAAUAUAUACAUAUAAAUAUACACAUUAUCUUAUAUAAAUAUAAAAUGGAGUACAUUCUCUUUCAGCAUCUACCCAUAUCAUCAUAAUGGCACAUCUUCCUUCUGGUGGCAGAAACUCCCACUGAUACAUUCAUUACUCAGAAUUAAUCUGGGCUACUGUUAUUAAUGGUUUUUAGGCUUCCAUUCAUUACCACUCUCAAGAGAUUAGACUGCUAGUUUUAACUCUGACCUCUAUGGUCCUACACCUUAACCAUGGUGUUAGUGACCAACUAACUAACAUGUCUUCCACAUCUGUGCUUUUUUCUACUUUUUUGAUUCUGCCUGGAAUUUGAACUUCUAUCAUCUGACCUUAUCUUUCAAGAGGGAACAAAUACCUACCCCUCAUACAAAACUCAGGUUAAAUGUUUUCUGCAAGGAAGGUGUUUUUGAUCCACCACCAGAAAAUAUGCCUAACUCCUCUGUGCUCUCACUGAAGCCCACACAGAUAUUUACCAAGGAAGAAUUUAUUUUAGCAGACUCCAUGUGAUCUCCUAUCUCUUCCACACACCAAAUCAUUCUGCACAAUGCCAGACGUAUUUUGCCCCUGUGCGAUUCUAAUUGUAUAAUCUCCCUUUGUAAUUCCUUUUAGGAUAAAAUUCAAAGGAUCUAGCACAUUUAGCUUGGAAUAUAAGGUUCUUCAUGAUCUGAUCCCAGAAUAUUUCUUUAGCAUUAACAUUAGCAUUACACACUCUUUCAUAUUGUCCUAACAAGCCACCAAACUUUCCACUUAGACUCUCAGAGAGGCAGUGGAUGAUUCUUUCAUGUCAUCCAGAUCUAAGCUCAAAUAUAAUUUCUCCAGAAGGGCAUUUAGCAACUUCUAUAUAAAAUGGCUUUCCCUAUCACUCAUUUCCCUGCUCUGUAUUCACUUAGCACUUGUUGCUGUAAAGAAUGGUAAUGAUUGAUUGCUUUCCUGGCUUCUUCCAUUGUAAAAUAAGUUUAAUGACAGUUGCAAUUUUUUUCUUGUUCCCUGCUCUAUUCCUAACACCUAAAACAAUGUCUGUUUUUUUUUUUUUUGAGUGAAUAAAUGAAAGUUUAUUUAGUGAGUGAAUGAAUGUUUCUGUUUGUUACCUAGGAAACUCAUUACUAUCUCCCCAUCUUGCAUGUACCCUUCUUUCUGUCAAGUAUCUGAAAACUAUAAAGAACUCAGGGAUUAUCUCUCUCAAAAUGUUGAAUAUAUUAAGAUACAAUCAGUAAUAAAUUUUGAAACAAAACUAUCCACUCUAAUUUCAAAAAGAAAUAAAAUGUCAAUCUCAUAAAGUAGUAAUGACAUAACUUCACAAUAUAUUGAAUGAAUUUAGCUUUAUGGAAAACCUGCUGCAUGGCCCUUAUUGUUUUUCUUUUGGCCAUGAAGGUCUUCCUCCGACUACAAGACCUCCUUCAUCAUACCUUCCACAAAAUCCGAUUAUGCUUCACCUUCCCUCACUUCCAGCUUGAUGGGAGAAACUAGUUGGAAAAUUUUUUUUUUUUUUUGUCUGAUUAUCUUAUUUGAGCAAAAAUGCUUAUGUCUAAUAAUGGCUUGAUUCAUCAUGUUUGGAGGUUCGUACUUGUUUUAAACAAUAAUCAUUAACCCAAAGAAAUGAGUAAAUAAUAGUCAAUAUUUGAGUUGGAAUUCUUAGUAAGGAGAUUUAUUACUUUUCUUUCAGCUUCUCCAAUUACGCCAUGUAAAAAUAUUAUUUGGAUAAAGAUGAUUGAGAUUAACAAAUUUAAGGAAAAAAUUUACUAAAAUACAUUUCCUUUUAAUACUUUCUAUUAAUAGUCAAUAUUUUCAUGCUAAUAAAAAUGACUAAAGUUUAUUAAGAACUUAAAAUGUAUCAAACACUGUGCUUUUCAAACAUUAUUUCAUUUUGCUUGCAUAGCAGUAUUGCAAAAAAAAAAUCACUUUUAGACUAAAUUUACAGUUAGAAAAAUAAGUUUAUAAAGAGGUUAGGUAACAUGCUUAAUUUCUCACUGCUGCUUGGUGAUGGGGCUGGGAUUCGUGUUUUGAUCUUUAUGAAUCCAAAAUCUCUACAGUCUCUCACAAAAAUACACAGUGUUAGAAUAGAGUUGUAUCUUAUCUUUCAAUAGAGCUUAUGUAUAAACCCCCUACAUGAGACCUGAAAGGUGGUAAAGUUCCUUUUCUGUGAACAAUGCAAAACUCAUGACAUCAUAAAGUAUAACUUACAUUUUUUUCAGCUCUAAUUGUUUCAUCAUUUUUCUUAUGAGUCAAAAUCUACCACUAUAUAUAAUAUGCAUCAUUUAAUCUUAUUCUUUUUUUUUCAACAAAUAAGAUAAGUAAAAGCAAGGAGAGUCCCAAAGACUAACCAUCUCUGAUUUGAUAUUCUAGAAGUGCAUGUCUUUGAAUAAAUAUUUAAAAAUUUAGAUAAAUUUAAAAAUUAACUCCAUACAUUUUUAAAUCCAUUGAAAUGUAUCACUACUAUUUUCUAUAGUAAAAGGAUCCUAAGGUAUCAAUUUUUCCGUUUUAUUUUUCAACAUUCUCCAAAACCUGUGUGGAAAAUUACCUUAAAAAUUUGACAAGUGAAUAAGAUAAAAUAAUGUGGCAGCUUUUAUUUUAAAAUACAAGGCCAUUUCAGUUUCAUGAGCAAAUAUUUUGAUUUAAUGUAUAUUUCUUAUUUACCUGGGUUAUUUUAAUUUCUUAAAAUAUAAUUCAAUUUUGCCUGGGUUAAAAGAGUCCAAAUAUGCUUUCUUUGAUCCAGAGUUCAACUAUUCAACAUUUUUCAAGCAAAUAACUAGCAUCAAAAUAAUCAAAUGAUUCGCAUACCUCAUUACCUAAGGCAUGCUUUCUUAAAGGCUACAAUAUCUUGUAUCUAAAAUACUGUGUUCUUCUAGCUCCUUAUUUUGGUUUAAUUUGAAAUGGGUUAUGACAUAAAAUAGAUGUAAGACAUUUAUAUGGGAAGCAGAUAUAAGACAUUUAAAAAUUUUUUUUCAUAAUAAAUGAAACUUUUUAUCUCACUUUCACUGAGUUUUAGGAAGUAACUUGAUGGUUUGGGAAUUUGUUUUAAUUAUGAAGUUAAUGAGAAAAUUGGGUGAUACCAUUGGUACAAUAAUAAAUGAAGGUUUUAACAAAAUGUUGGGGAUAGCUUUUAUAAAGUAUAUCCAAGUA
rnacentral:lncRNA from 1 species